UACAGAGGUGGCAAGCGUUGUUCGGAAUUACUGGGCGUAAAGCGCGUGUAGGCGGCUCUUCAAGUCAGGCGUGAAAGCCCCGGGCUCAACUCGGGAACUGCGCUUGAUACUGUCGAGCUAGAGUGUGGAAGGGGCGAUUGGAAUUCCGUGUGUAGCGGUGAAAUGCGUAGAUAUCAAGAGGAACACCUGCGGCGAAGGCGGGUUGCUGGGCCGACACUGACGCUGAGGCGCGAAAGCCAGGGGAGCGAACGGG
rnacentral:rRNA from 1 species